UACGGCGGGUGCAAACGUUGCUCGGAAUCAUUGGGCGUAAAGCGCACGUAGGCGGCUCGUUAAGUCGGAUGUGAAAUCCCUGGGCUCAACCCAGGAAGUGCAUUCGAAACUGGCGAGCUUGAAUAUGGAAGAGGGUCGCGGAAUUCCCGGUGUAGAGGUGAAAUUCGUAGAUAUCGGGAGGAACACCAGUGGCGAAGGCGGCGACCUGGGCCAAUAUUGACGCUGAGGUGCGAAAGCGUGGGGAGCAAACAGG
rnacentral:rRNA from 1 species